UUAUAUAAUUCUACUAAUUUGUUUGAUUAAUUUUACUAUAAAUAUGAAUAGAAAAGAUUAAAUUGGCAGUAGCUUCUUUGAGAACAAACUAUAAAACGAUUCUUAAAAUGGCCAAGUUUACUAUCAUUUUCACUUUGCUGUUAGCCAUUCUUGCAGUCUUCGUGUCUGGACAAAGACGUCUUGGCGAAAAUGGCGGAGGAAUCUAUUACAAAAACCGCCCUAUUGGUGGAAACACUGCCAACCCACAAUAUAGACCACCAGCCAACGCACGAGGUUAAAAUUUAACAGCAAUUUUUUGGAAGGUUUUAUUGAUUUUGGACAAUUACUUCUUGCAUAAUAAAAUAAUAUAAAAAAAAUAAAUAUUCUUAUUUACACCAUUGAUAUCUACUAAGAUAACGUACAAAAUUAAUAAAAAACAAUACUUGAAAAGAACUUCAAUGAUAAUAAUUCUAUGAUAAAAAUUAAGCACAGAUUUUAUCGUAAACCUGGUUUUACUUAAAUAAAAGUUUCCAUUAUUUAAUACUUGCAUGAUACGUAACAUAUAUUAGUUGUAUACAGUUUAAUUCUCGUUGUUUUAUUGUUAUAUACGACUAGACAUUAAUAUCACUUUUCUUAAACACUC